rnacentral:misc_RNA from 1 species
CGAGAGGGGAGUUUCCGGCUAACGGGACCGUAGUCACGCAUUAUCAUCCUUAUGGCGAAGAUAGAAUCGCGUCAAGUCGCUAAAGAGGAAGAGGCCACUGCAAGUGGCCGAGCCGGCAUCCUUGAAACGCACUUUGAGCGCGCAGGAUGAUCUUUCUCUCUCUUUCCCUCUCGAGUCCAGUGAGUGUCAUGUCGGCAUUUGUCGGCUAUAUCUUGUCGAAAAGAAUUGUGUACGAAACUGUGAAAUUGUGGUGUGUAUGUGUGUUUGAGCGUGUGCGCGCACGUGUGUUAACACAUUGGUCGGUAUCUUAAAAAUUAAACGUACAUCGGGCAGAAUAACAAUAGCAGCGAAUCAAUGUGUCAUCUGAUUAUCGCCCGGAACUUUAAGCGUAAGAUCUCGUUAACUUGAUCAAUUUUCUGCAUUUUUUGAGCGAGCGUAAUGGAAGGAAGUGUAACGAGUUACGCGCGCCAAAUGAUUCUCAAGCAGUUACCGGAUAUCGCUGACACCGAUAUCUGAUCGUGCACUUUCUCUUGCGGCCUCUUCUCUUUCUCUCUCUCUCUCUCUCUCCGUUGAUCUUUAACACCCCGAUAUAAAUUGAUUUCGAUUUUGCACAAGAGUGAUUUCGGCGUAACACGGUUAAGGUAAUCUCUCGAGUCGCAAUCGCAUCGACAAGUUCGUCGCGAACCUCGAAGCGGACGAUGGAUUUGCAAGAAAGUUAACGAGACCAUCCUGACGCAACAUUAAAUACAAACACGAUAAAAGAUAAUUUGUUAAUAUUAAUCCCACGGGGAACACAAUCGAUAAGCACGAGCAAGCAGGGGGCCAAAACGCAGCAAAAGGUCGACAAGAGAGCCGUUGCAGCGAGAUGAAGACCAUGGUGAAUAAUGCGCACAUAUGUGUGAGCCUCGUAUGCGUCGCAGCUUUCAUCCUCGUGAAUGUAGCGUGGCUGUUACACAUAUAUUUUCCUCCUCAUUGCAUCAAACGACCGACAUCGUUUUCCUCUUCCGAACACGAAGACUCGCCGUCUGAUGCAGAUCCUCCCUCUGGAGAACUUUCCUCGUCGAGUAUGCAACAGGUUUUAAUGGGUAAUGGACAUUGCGUCCGAAGAUCAUCCUCCUGUCGCGAUCGCAUCGCGUCUGAAUCCGUUACGUCAUGUUUACUUCUUUACAUAUGCGCGGCGGCGUUCCUGGCUUCGCAUAUCGUAAAACAACUCGCACGCGGCGUCGAAGAGCUUCGAUGGCUUCUCCUCCAAGUGUCACUGUCAACGCGCGAGAGACGUCGUGUGUGCAGUAUAUGCGUGUGCCGUAAAUUGCGAUACAGGCAGACCAGUAACGAAGCUGUUCUCGCCGAUCGUAUCGUGCGAUUCGUCAUGGAGCACAUGGAAACGAGACUGCUGCCCAAUCACGCCGCUAAAAUUCGCGAUGUGUGGACGAUUAUGGUAAAAACAAUCUCUGUCGAUCCUUCGUGAGGAAUUUCUCCUGUAAGAUCCACGAUUCCAAUGGAAUAGAGAGGAGUCGGCGGGUUCAGUUCGUUCAGAGGCAUGAGUGGAUAGCCCUAUCGGCCAGAGUGCUGACGAAACAGAAGUUGCCGGCAUCCUACGUGAUCGUCUGCCAAACCUCCACGCAUGAUUGUUCCUCGUUCACCGAGUGCUCCUUCAAAGUGAGAUUUCUUCAGACGUUCUGCAUGUGGAACCAAGGAUCGGAGAACAUCAUCUAUUUCCUCAUCGGCAAUGAUGGUCACGUUUACGUCGGCAGGGGUUGAUAUAGAGUCGGUGGACGUACUUCCGGCUAUGAUGCCCGGAAUGUUGGCGUUUCCUUCAUCAGUACCUUCCACAAAACGUCGAAGGCGCAAUUGACUGCGCCGCGAGCCCUGAUGGAAAACGGCGUCGAGCUCGGCAAACUCUCGGCCGACUACAAACUAUUAGCAAAGCGACAGAUUGAAAAUUAUGGUAGCGAAACUCCCAACCUUGAGGACGCUUUAUACGAUGUUGUUAAGACGUUGCCGCAUUGGUCGCCCGUUCCUUGACAACGCGAAUAAUUCAGUGCACGAGGGACCGCGAGAGCUGAAGGAGAAAGACGUCUCGAACGCGACAGUAAGAUUCCGAUGAUGUCGAGAUAUCGAUUUACACUUAUCUAAACUGCAGCUCUCGUUCUCUCCUUCUUAGGACACCGUUCGAAUUAUGAGGUUAUCUUCGCAUUAUCUCGCCGGUACUUGACUCGCGAUACUACACGAAGCAGCCACGUUGCGCCUUGAUAAAACCUUUCUCGCGAAUACGUAUGGGUCGAUGGAUGCUCGCAUGGUGUACGAAUAGAGGGAUACGAACACAUUAAUAAGAACGUUUCUCACGUGCGAUUAUUGCGAGUGAGAACGCGACUGCCGCUUAUGAGAUUUCCGCGAGUACGCCGCGGCGCGUUUCUCAAUAGCGAUCCGUCAAUCAAUAGCGCGCGGCAACGUGUCGCGCGCUAUUGCCAGAAACAAAUAGCUCGUAUGUUUAUCGACGACGAGCGCGCGGCUCCAUAUGCAUGCGACGCGGUUGCUUAAGUAAGGAAUGACAGACUCACUGCCAAUUAUUCGAUGGCUUCAAGGAUACUACGUUUGAGCUGUGUGCCUCCGCUCGCGAGGAGGCACAAUGGAAGUGCUCCGGCUGGAACGGAUGAUGGCUCUUUGUAUCAGCGCUCUCCACCCUUCGUAAUGCAUUCCGACAUGACUUUGCGGCAGAAUCGAGAACCAUUUGUAAAUAUUAAAUCAUUAUUCGCGGAAUAAAGGCGCAGUGAGUUGAGA